CCUACGGGCGGCUGCAGUGAGGAAUAUUGGUCAAUGGACGAGAGUCUGAACCAGCCAAGUAGCGUGAAGGAUGACUGCCCUAUGGGUUGUAAACUUCUUUUAUAUGGGAAUAAAAUGUUCCACGUGUGGGAUUUUGUAUGUACCAUAUGAAUAAGGAUCGGCUAACUCCGUGCCAGCAGCCGCGGUAAUACGGAGGAUCCAGGCGUUAUCCGGAUUUAUUGGGUUUAAAGGGAGCGUAGGUGGAUUGGUAAGUCAGGUGUGCAAGUUUGCGGCUCAACCGUAAAAUUGCAGUUGAAACUGGCAGUCUUGAGUACAGUAGAGGUGGGCGGAAUUCGUGGUGUAGCGGUGAAAUGCUUAGAUAUCACGAAGAACUCCGAUUGCGAAGGCAGUUCACUGGACUGCAACUGACACUGAGGCUCGAAAGUGUGGGUAUCAAACAGGAUUAGAUACCCCUGUAGUC
rnacentral:rRNA from 1 species